UAAUCGUUUAUUGUCUCUGGCGGAUCUCGGUCCGCAAGCAUACACUUUGUAUUAUUUUAGUCUAUAACUUUUAAUGAAAAUUAAAACAACUUUUGACAACGGAUCUCUAGGCUCUCACAACGAUGAAGAACGCAGCGAAAUGCGAUAAGUAAUGUGAAUUGCAGAAUUCCGUGAAUCAUUAAAUCUUUGAACGCACAUUGCGCCCUCUGGUAUUCCUAAGGGCAUGCCUGUUUGAGAAUCAGUUUAAUCAUCAAAUCUAUAGGGUAAAAACUAUAGGCUUGGAUCUGGGACUUGUCGAUAGACUGUCUCUAAUAACAUUUGUUGCGACUCUAUAGCGAGACUAUAUGAAAAGCAUGACCAUUGAACGCAAGUUCUUAUGAUUGCCUGUAGUAUCUUUAAGCUAUUGACUAGUACAGAACAAACACGAAGACUAACCAUCUUUAAGACUUGAUCUCAAAUCAGACAAGACUACCCGCUGAACUUAA
rnacentral:rRNA from 1 species